rnacentral:rRNA from 1 species
AACGAACGCUGGCGGCAGGCUUAACACAUGCAAGUCGAGCGAGACCUUCGGGUCUAGCGGCGGACGGGUGAGUAACGCGUGGGAACGUGCCCUUCUCUACGGAAUAGCCCCGGGAAACUGGGAGUAAUACCGUAUACGCCCUUUGGGGGAAAGAUUUAUCGGAGAAGGAUCGGCCCGCGUUGGAUUAGGUAGUUGGUGGGGUAAUGGCCCACCAAGCCGACGAUCCAUAGCUGGUUUGAGAGGAUGAUCAGCCACACUGGGACUGAGACACGGCCCAGACUCCUACGGGAGGCAGCAGUGGGGAAUCUUAGACAAUGGGGGCAACCCUGAUCUAGCCAUGCCGCGUGAGUGAUGAAGGCCUUAGGGUUGUAAAGCUCUUUCAGCUGGGAAGAUAAUGACGGUACCAGCAGAAGAAGCCCCGGCUAACUACGUG